rnacentral:rRNA from 1 species
CGCGUAGGCGGCCAACUUUGUCAGGCGUGAAAGCCCCGGGCUCAACCUGGGAAUUGCGCUUGGGACGGGUUGGCUUGAGUUCGGGAGAGGAGAGUGGAAUUCCCAGUGUAGAGGUGAAAUUCGUAGAUAUUGGGAAGAACACCGGUGGCGAAGGCGGCUCUCUGGACCGAUACUGACGCUGAGGCGCGAAAGCGUGGGGAGCAAACAGGAUUAGAUACCCUGGUAGUCCACGCUGUAAACGAUGUGUGCUAGACGUUGGGGAGCCUAGCUCUUCGGUGUCGCAGCUAACGCGAUAAGCACACCGCCUGGGGAGUACGGCCGCAAGGUUAAA